AGUCGAAGAAAAUCAUUUGAGAUGAAGGAACCGCUUCAUAACAUUGUAUUUCUGUAUAUAUCUGACAUGUUUGGCAUUUUAUCUCAUAUAUUGUGUUACCCCUAUCAAGAAAUAUAUACUUUAAAUCCAGAACAUUCUUGUUACU